GAAAUGCGAUAAGUAAUGUGAAUUGCAGAAUUCAGUGAAUCAUCGAAUCUUUGAACGCACAUUGCGCCCGCCAGCACUCUGGCGGGCAUGCCUGUUCGAGCGUCAUUUCAACCCUCAGAACCCCUUGCGGGAUCUGGCGUUGGGGAUUGGCAUCCAGCCAGCCCCGAAAUCUAGUGGCGGUCCCUCCGCGACCUCCCCUGUGCAGUAGCGAUACCUCGCAGCGGGACAGCGGUCUGACCACGCCGUAAAACCCCCAACUUCUCAAGCUUGACCUCGAAUCAGGUAGGAAUACCCGCUGAACUUAAGC
rnacentral:misc_RNA from 1 species